UAUCACAAGUCGCUAAUAACAAAAGAGUACUCAUGACUCUAGUGAAAUGACUAACGGAACGACUCUAAGAAUUUAAAAGAAAACAGUGAUAGCAAAUAAAUAAACUUCUUGUCGACGUAAAUCAAUGUCUGCUCACGUGCAUUUGUCAACUCAUGCACUCUAGCUAAAGAAAGCCUCAUCAAUGUCACUUGUAAUCUCUGUAAAAAAAAAUAUAGUGGGGAGUUAGUCACUAACUCAAUGAGAACACUGAACCAUAAACAUUUUUUAUGGGCAAAAGUCAAAAAACAUAUUAGUAUAAUUAUUAGAAAAUACCAUGAAAUAAAUGCCCUUUUCGAAAAUGUUAACAAUAACCAGUCUUGUCUGUUUCAAAUAAAUACACAUUGUCAUAUCAUUUUUAAUUAUUUUUAAGGGAAAAUUCAUUAAUUGGAACAAUUCAAAUAUAUAAUAUCAACAUUGACAAGAACAAAAAUAUCGGGGGAAUUUCUGAGUUCCACAUCAAACCAUAAUUUUACGGACAAUCAAAUGAGCUCAACUGCCCUUGUGCUUAGAUUUCUUGAAAUGGGCUUCAAAGGUUUAAAAAUGAGAACUUUGGUGAUGGGUUUGAAGGGUAUUUGAGAGAUUUAGAAAGUGAUCGUAAUUGUGAAACAAGGUGGGUAACCACCAUUUUUGUACCAAAGAUACACAAUGUUAUUAGACUGUUACUAUAAUAAGUGUUCACCUAAACACUAUCAUAUCAAAUCUAUUGUUUGGGAGGUUUCCAGGAACAUAUGUAUCUUGGUCAAUAUACGGCAUGUAACCUUUGUGACUGAGUACCAAAGUUGUUUUGAGACUAUCCUAUCAGCCCUCGGUAAGUGUGUUGUACUUUUUUCAUGCCUUGCAUAUGUUCAUCCACGUAGAAGCAAUAUGACCACUCAUCGUAAGAUUGAGGCAGAUUUAAAGUGGUUGUAUUGCUUCUAUGUGGAUGAACAAAUGCAGGGCAUGGCGAAAGUUUAGUUGACUCACCGAUAAUCGAUAGGAUAGCCUUAAAACAACUGUGGUAUGCAGUCACAAAGGCUACCUAUCGUAUAUCAACCAAGUGACAUUUGUUCCUAGAAACCUCGGUGAGUAAUAUAAAUGCAAAUGCGACAUUGAUACGCACAAGGUGUUUGAUGAAAUGUUUUAUAAAGGAGAGACCGACACUUCCCAAUCUAAUGACUAUUUGGCAUAAGAAAUUUCAGCACCUAUCUACUUUUUUCCCUUUUACACCAAAGGAGUCUACCUUUGAGUAUGGUUAUUCCAAAGAAGGGAACAAGGCAAAAUUGUAAGUAGAAGGCUCAAAGGAUGUGGUUCAACAGAAGUUGGUUCCUAUUAUAAAUAUCCAAGAGGAGUUGGUUCCAAAGGAUUAAGACAGUAUGAGGGAGUGACUUCACUUAUCACCCAUACAAUGCUAGUUGAUGAAGAUGUUAGUACUCUUGAGUGUUUACCUUACCUUUUCGAACAACCCUUUUUACCCUUGGUAUAUGUUGAUUUUAGGGAUCUCACAAUGUCUAAGAAAUUGAAAAUGACUUACACAUAUGUAAGUGCUUUGAUACUGAGUUGUCUGAUUCAAAUGAAGUUGGUUCCAUCAACAGAAAAGGGAUGAAAGCUUGACAUAUGUAUUUAGUUCAUAGCAAGAAUCAAUAGUUUAUCACUUAUAUACUUUUAAACAACUUUGUGGAUCUCCUAAACAUGUUACUAGUUGUUUCUGAGAUACGAAAAGUUGUAUUGGAUUCUAGGUGCUCCCAAAACAUGGGAAUGGUUUAAGAAGAACGUGUAGCCAAGUCACAUUCAAGUCUUUCAAGAAGAAACAAGCAAUGAUGACAACAUACGUGCUUACCAACAUGUCAAUCCCAUUGCACUGCCUUGUCUUUAUGGCCAAACAUUUUGCUAAACAUAGUAGAGAUGGUUGUAGCAACGUCAAAUUAUGGAUUCGUCAAAAAAGGUUUACGAUCACGAGAUAGUGCAUGUAGAAAAAGUGACAUGUUUAUUCAUUUGCACGCCUCAAACUAAAAUCUACACACAUCAAAAUGAAUUUAAACAAGGUAAUGAUAUUAGAAUAGUUAACUGUGUGAGGCAAACCUGCAAUUUUGAUCUUCUUUUACAUUCAGUCCAUAAAGAUCC
rnacentral:lncRNA from 1 species